rnacentral:rRNA from 1 species
AGUGAACGCUGGCGGUAGGCCUAACACAUGCAAGUCGAACGGCAGCACAGUAAGAGCUUGCUCUUACGGGUGGCGAGUGGCGGACGGGCGAGGAAUACAUCGGAAUCUACUUUUUCGUGGGGGAUAACGUAGGGAAACUUACGCUAAUACCGCAUACGACCUACGGGUGAAAGCAGGGGAUCUUCGGACCUUGCGCGAUUGAAUGAGCCGAUGUCGGAUUAGCUAGUUGGCGGGGUAAAGGCCCACCAAGGCGACGAUCCGUAGCUGGUCUGAGAGGAUGAUCAGCCACACUGGAACUGAGACACGGUCCAGACUCCUACGGGAGGCAGCAGUGGGGAAUAUUGGACAAUGGGCGCAAGCCUGAUCCAGCCGUACCGCGUGGGUGAAGAAGGCCUUCGGGUUGUAAAGCCCUUUUGUUGGGAAAGAAAAGCAGCAGGUUAAUACCCCGCUGUUCUGACGGUACCCAAAGAAUAAGCACCGGCUAACUUCGUG